rnacentral:rRNA from 1 species
GUACUUUAUGAAUAAGGAUCGGCUAACUCCGUGCCAGCAGCCGCGGUAAUACAGAGGUCUCAAGCGUUGUUCGGAAUCACUGGGCGUAAAGCGUGCGUAGGCUGUUUCGUAAGUCGUGUGUGAAAGGCGCGGGCUCAACCCGCGGACGGCACAUGAUACUGCGAGACUAGAGUAAUGGAGGGGGAACCGGAAUUCUCGGUGUAGCAGUGAAAUGCGUAGAUAUCGAGAGGAACACUCGUGGCGAAGGCGGGUUCCUGGACAUUAACUGACGCUGAGGCACGAAGGCCAGGGGAGCGAAAGGGAUUAGAUACCCCUGUAGUCCUGGCAGUAAACGGUGCACGCUUGGUGUGCGGGGAAUCGACCCCCUGCGUGCCGGAGCUAACGCGUUAAGCGUGCCGCCUGGGGAGUACGGUCGCAAGAUUAAAACUCAAAGAAAUUGACGGGGACCCGCACAAGCGGUGGAGUAUGUGGCUUAAUUCGAUGCAACGCGAAGAACCUUACCUGGGCUUGACAUGUAAUGAACAACAUGUGAAAGCAUGCGACUCUUCGGAGGCGUUACACAGGUGCUGCAUGGCCGUCGUCAGCUCGUGUCGUGAGAUGUUGGGUUAAGUCCCGCAACGAGCGCAACCCUUAUCGUCCGUUACUAACGCGUAGAGGCGAGGACUCAGACGAGACCGCCGGGGACAACUCGGAGGAAGGUGGGGACGACGUCAAAUCAUCAUGCCCCUUACGACCUGGGCUACACACGUGCUACAAUGGGUACAACAAAGAGAAGCGAGACCGCAAGGUGGAGCAAAACUCAGAAAAGUACUCUCAGUUCAGAUUGUGGGCUGCAACCCGCCCACAUGAAGUUGGAGUUGCUAGUAAUCGCGGAUCAGCAUGCCGCGGUGAAUACGUUCCCGGGUCUUGCACUCACCGCCCGUCA